rnacentral:rRNA from 1 species
CACCAGACUCCUACGGGAGGCAGCAGUGAGGAAUAUUGGUCAAUGGUCGGGAGACUGAACCAGCCAAGCCGCGUGAGGGAGGAAGGUACAGAGUAUCGUAAACCUCUUUUGUCAGGGAACAAAGGCGGGGACGUGUCCCCGGAUGAGUGUACCUGAAGAAAAAGCAUCGGCUAACUCCGUGCCAGCAGCCGCGGUAAUACGGAGGAUGCGAGCGUUAUCCGGAUUUAUUGGGUUUAAAGGGUGCGCAGGCGGUCUGUUAAGACAGGGGACAACGCCGGGGCCCCACCCCCGCCCCGCCGUUGAAACUGGCAGUCUCGAGUUGGAGAGAAGUAUGCGGAAUGCGCGGUGUAGCGGUGAAAUGCAUAGAUAUCGCGCAGAACUCCGAUUGCGAAGGCAGCAUGCCGGCUCCACACUGACGCUGAGGCACGAAAGCGUGGGUAUCGAACAGGAUUAGAUACCCCUGUA